rnacentral:lncRNA from 1 species
GAUUAAAUGAUAAUAAUAUACCUAAUCCUUCGUACACGACCUAAAAACACUUUCAUUUAUGAAUAAAUAUAAAAAAAAAUGUCGCAUUUUUAUAUAGUAACACCACUGACCCUUCAGUAACUCCAAUGACACAAAAGUAUCACCAAUGACAUCACAUUUCAAAUUUUACCUUUAUCAAGUACUGAACACAAAGUCAAGAUCACCGAGCAAAAGAAAAAGAUGAAAAAUAAUUCUUAGGCUAAAAAAUCUCAAAUUAUAUAACAUAACAUCCAUUGCUAAAAAUGUCAAUAGUGUUACUAAAUAGUGUCAUUGGUGUUACCAGC